UACGUAGGGGGCAAGCGUUGUCCGGAAUCAUUGGGCGUAAAGCGCGUGUAGGCGGUCCGAUAAGUUCGCUGUGAAAGUCGGGGGCUUAACCCUCGGAUGCCGGUGAAUACUGUCGGGCUUGAGUACGGAAGAGGCGAGUGGAAUUCCUGGUGUAGCGGUGAAAUGCGCAGAUAUCAGGAGGAACACCAAUUGCGAAGGCAGCUCGCUGGGACGUUACUGACGCUGAGACGCGAAAGCGUGGGGAGCAAACAGG
rnacentral:rRNA from 1 species